AGGACGAACGCUGGCGGCGUGCUUAACACAUGCAAGUCGAACGAGGUUCAGCCGACCCUUCGGGGAGAGCGAAAAUCUAGUGGCGAACGGGUGCGUAACACGUGAGAAACCUGCCCCGGACUUGGGAAUAACAGUCGGAAACGGCUGCUAAUACCGAAUAUCUCCGUAGCGUCGCAUGGCGCAUCGAAGAAAGCUUUUGCGGUCUGGGAGGGUCUCGCGGCCUAUCAGCUAGUUGGUGAGGUAACGGCUCACCAAGGCAUCGACGGGUAGCUGGUCUGAGAGGAUGAUCAGCCACACUGGGACUGAGACACGGCCCAGACUCCUACGGGAGGCAGCAGUGGGGAAUAUUGCACAAUGGGCGAAAGCCUGAUGCAGCAACGCCGCGUGCGGGAAGAAGGCCUUAGGGUUGUAAACCGCUUUCAGCAGGGAGAAAUGACGGUACCUGCAGAAGAAGGUGCGGCAACUACGUGCCAGCAGCCGCGGUAAUCU
rnacentral:rRNA from 1 species